rnacentral:rRNA from 1 species
UUAAGCGACUAAGCGUACACGGUGGAUGCCCUGGCAGUCAGAGGCGAUGAAGGACGUGCUAAUCUGCGAUAAGCGUCGGUAAGGUGAUAUGAACCGUUAUAACCGGCGAUUUCCGAAUGGGGAAACCCAGUGUGUUUCGACACACUAUCAUUAACUGAAUCCAUAGGUUAAUGAGGCGAACCGGGGGAACUGAAACAUCUAAGUACCCCGAGGAAAAGAAAUCAACCGAGAUUCCCCCAGUAGCGGCGAGCGAACGGGGAGGAGCCCAGAGCCUGAAUCAGUGUGUGUGUUAGUGGAAGCGUCUGGAAAGGCGCGCGAUACAGGGUGACAGCCCCGUACACAAAAAUGCACAUAUUGUGAGCUCGAUGAGUAGGGCGGGACACGUGGUAUCCUGUCUGAAUAUGGGGGGACCAUCCUCCAAGGCUAAAUACUCCUGACUGACCGAUAGUGAACCAGUACCGUGAGGGAAAGGCGAAAAGAACCCCGGCGAGGGGAGUGAAAAAGAACCUGAAACCGUGUACGUACAAGCAGUGGGAGCACGCUUAGGCGUGUGACUGCGUACCUUUUGUAUAAUGGGUCAGCGACUUAUAUUCUGUAGCAAGGUUAACCGAAUAGGGGAGCCGAAGGGAAACCGAGUCUUAACUGGGCGUUAAGUUGCAGGGUAUAGACCCGAAACCCGGUGAUCUAGCCAUGGGCAGGUUGAAGGUUGGGUAACACUAACUGGAGGACCGAACCGACUAAUGUUGAAAAAUUAGCGGAUGACUUGUGGCUGGGGGUGAAAGGCCAAUCAAACCGGGAGAUAGCUGGUUCUCCCCGAAAGCUAUUUAGGUAGCGCCUCGUGAAUUCAUCUCCGGGGGUAGAGCACUGUUUCGGCAAGGGGGUCAUCCCGACUUACCAACCCGAUGCAAACUGCGAAUACCGGAGAAUGUUAUCACGGGAGACACACGGCGGGUGCUAACGUCCGUCGUGAAGAGGGAAACAACCCAGACCGCCAGCUAAGGUCCCAAAGUCAUGGUUAAGUGGGAAACGAUGUGGGAAGGCCCAGACAGCCAGGAUGUUGGCUUAGAAGCAGCCAUCAUUUAAAGAAAGCGUAAUAGCUCACUGGUCGAGUCGGCCUGCGCGGAAGAUGUAACGGGGCUAAACCAUGCACCGAAGCUGCGGCAGCGACGCUUAUGCGUUGUUGGGUAGGGGAGCGUUCUGUAAGCCUGUGAAGGUGUGCUGUGAGGCAUGCUGGAGGUAUCAGAAGUGCGAAUGCUGACAUAAGUAACGAUAAAGCGGGUGAAAAGCCCGCUCGCCGGAAGAUCAAGGGUUCCUGUCCAACGUUAAUCGGGGCAGGGUGAGUCGACCCCUAAGGCGAGGCCGAAAGGCGUAGUCGAUGGGAAACAGGUUAAUAUUCCUGUACUUGGUGUUACUGCGAAGGGGGGACGGAGAAGGCUAUGUUGGCCGGGCGACGGUUGUCCCGGUUUAAGCGUGUAGGCUGGUUUUCCAGGCAAAUCCGGAAAAUCAAGGCUGAGGCGUGAUGACGAGGCACUACGGUGCUGAAGCAACAAAUGCCCUGCUUCCAGGAAAAGCCUCUAAGCAUCAGGUAACAUCAAAUCGUACCCCAAACCGACACAGGUGGUCAGGUAGAGAAUACCAAGGCGCUUGAGAGAACUCGGGUGAAGGAACUAGGCAAAAUGGUGCCGUAACUUCGGGAGAAGGCACGCUGAUAUGUAGGUGAAGCGACUUGCUCGUGGAGCUGAAAUCAGUCGAAGAUACCAGCUGGCUGCAACUGUUUAUUAAAAACACAGCACUGUGCAAACACGAAAGUGGACGUAUACGGUGUGACGCCUGCCCGGUGCCGGAAGGUUAAUUGAUGGGGUCAGCGCAAGCGAAGCUCUUGAUCGAAGCCCCGGUAAACGGCGGCCGUAACUAUAACGGUCCUAAGGUAGCGAAAUUCCUUGUCGGGUAAGUUCCGACCUGCACGAAUGGCGUAAUGAUGGCCAGGCUGUCUCCACCCGAGACUCAGUGAAAUUGAACUCGCUGUGAAGAUGCAGUGUACCCGCGGCAAGACGGAAAGACCCCGUGAACCUUUACUAUAGCUUGACACUGAACAUUGAGCCUUGAUGUGUAGGAUAGGUGGGAGGCUUUGAAGUGUGGACGCCAGUCUGCAUGGAGCCGACCUUGAAAUACCACCCUUUAAUGUUUGAUGUUCUAACGUUGACCCGUAAUCCGGGUUGCGGACAGUGUCUGGUGGGUAGUUUGACUGGGGCGGUCUCCUCCUAAAGAGUAACGGAGGAGCACGAAGGUUGGCUAAUCCUGGUCGGACAUCAGGAGGUUAGUGCAAUGGCAUAAGCCAGCUUGACUGCGAGCGUGACGGCGCGAGCAGGUGCGAAAGCAGGUCAUAGUGAUCCGGUGGUUCUGAAUGGAAGGGCCAUCGCUCAACGGAUAAAAGGUACUCCGGGGAUAACAGGCUGAUACCGCCCAAGAGUUCAUAUCGACGGCGGUGUUUGGCACCUCGAUGUCGGCUCAUCACAUCCUGGGGCUGAAGUAGGUCCCAAGGGUAUGGCUGUUCGCCAUUUAAAGUGGUACGCGAGCUGGGUUUAGAACGUCGUGAGACAGUUCGGUCCCUAUCUGCCGUGGGCGCUGGAGAACUGAGGGGGGCUGCUCCUAGUACGAGAGGACCGGAGUGGACGCAUCACUGGUGUUCGGGUUGUCAUGCCAAUGGCACUGCCCGGUAGCUAAAUGCGGAAGAGAUAAGUGCUGAAAGCAUCUAAGCACGAAACUUGCCCCGAGAUGAGUUCUCCCUGACCCUUUAAGGGUCCUGAAGGAACGUUGAAGACGACGACGUUGAUAGGCCGGGUGUGUAAGCGCAGCGAUGCGUUGAGCUAACCGGUACUAAUGAACCGUGAGGCUUAACCUU